rnacentral:rRNA from 1 species
GACAGAGGGUGCAAACGUUGUUCGGAAUUACUGGGCGUAAAGCGAGUGUAGGCGGUCUUGAAAGUCGGAUGUGAAAGCCCUGGGCUCAACCCAGGAAGUGCAUUCGAUACUCCAAGGCUAGAGUACUGGAGAGGUGGGUGGAAUUCUCGGUGUAGAGGUGAAAUUCGUAGAUAUCGAGAGGAACACCGGCGGCGAAGGCGGCCCACUAGACAGAUACUGACGCUGAGGAGCGAAAGCGUGGGGAGCGAACAGG